rnacentral:rRNA from 1 species
UACGGAGGGAGCUAGCGUUGUUCGGAAUUACUGCGCGUAAAGCGCGCGUAGGCGGCUUUGUAAGUUAGAGGUGAAAGCCCGGGGCUCAACCCCGGAAUUGCCUUUAAGACUGCAUCGCUUGAAUCCGGGAGAGGUGAGUGGAAUUCCGAGUGUAGAGGUGAAAUUCGUAGAUAUUCGGAAGAACACCAGUGGCGAAGGCGGCUCACUGGACCGGCAUUGACGCUGAGGUGCGAAAGCGUGGGGAGCAAACAGG